rnacentral:lncRNA from 1 species
CUGGCAAUGCCAGCCCAGAGCUUGUGUCUCCUCACAGCAGAAGACAGCAAAGGCUUCUGCAAUCCAGCUCACUGGGGACCAGGGAAGGGUGACUUUGGUUUAAAGAAGACCCUGACUCUCAGGCCUGGCUUGGACCUUGCCAGCACUCUGGAGACCCAGGAUCCCUACCUUAGAGAACAAAGCUGGGAAGAGCUGCGUGAGGAUCGAGUUUCCUCCAGUUGACACCGCCAUCGCCAUCAUGAAGUAUGGUUGCCUCGGUGACCUUCAAAGACCUUGGCCCACACUCAAGGCCAAAGAACACACUGAAAAAAUACCAACAGUCAGGCAAGUGACAGGGUUUCUCUGCAUAGCCCUGGCUGUUCUGGAACUUGCUUCGUAGACCAGGCUGGCCUCAAAUCCAGAGAUCUGCCUCUUGACCAAAUGCUGGGAUAAAAGGCAUGUGCCACCACCAACCACCCAGCUGAGAGACCAUCAUAAAGGGGCAGGCCUGGAAGCAGGAGCUCAGCACUCAGAAGAAUGGCCCUCGCCCCUCACCUGGGCAUUGUGGUAGAGCUGACCCUGGUGGCAUGGGGGUAAGAGAACCUGCUCCAAGGGUGUGAGCUCAGGCCAGCUGGUCUUGUCCCACUGGAGACAUGGUCAGGCCCCUCGCCUGGGCAAAAGGGAGAGCUGACCUUGGUGACUCCAGUGCAAGAAAGCUGGUGGCUGAACAACUCAGCUACCACUGGGGCCCAGGGCCCAGAUCCAAGGCUCUGAGUUGGCCACCCCACAUCUACCCCAUCUAUGAACUGUUGGAGUGGUGGCGAUCCAAAGCUACAGGAUCUCCAUGAUACAGGGCAACAGGCUAUCCCAGAGGAGUUCCAGGGAAGAUCCAGAAUGGAGUAGCAGAAUCCAGAGGACUCAAACCAGACUGAUGACUCACUGCAAUGAUCAUUUGCAAGUAAAGAUGUUUGGGGGAAAGGGUGUGUUGUGUGAUACACUGUAGCUUCCUUGUAGUGAGGGUUUUUUGUUUGUUUGUUUGUUUUUUUUUGUUUUUAAUUUUUGUUUUCUUUUGGGGGAAGGUUGCAAGAGGAUAGAAUGGCUGAGAUAGAGGAAUGGGGAGAUGAGUUGGAUUGGGUGCAUGAUGUGAAGUUCACAAUCAAUAAAAUUUUUUAAAAAAAA